GGGCUGGUGCCUGCCUUGCAUCCUGAGCUGCUGGGACAGACUCCGGCCACCCCAGACACUAAGCUGGAAUAAGCGAGUUGGACAAUGAAUGAAGGAAUGAAUACAAAUAAUUGUAAAAUAAAAAUGUGUACCACAAUGUACCACAAUAAACAAUGUGGGAUGAAAGCACUUGGCGAGCCCACGAAAUUCGUUAUUGUUUUUGAACUUCGUGGUGGGAGGAAGUGCUCCUUACGAGUUUCACUUUGCAAACAUUUAUUCCUUGAUUUAACCCACCACCACUACAACCACCAUCACUCGCUGCUUUACCAAAAACUGGUACCGUUAGGGAAAUUCACAUUGUCGUGCAACCAUCACCACCAUCUAUCUCCAGGAAAUCUUCAUCGGCCUCAUCUCUCAGUCCACGUCCAACAAGCAGAAGGGACACCUCACUUUCAGGUCACCAACUAUCCUUCUCUGUCUCUGCUAGUGUGAGCAGGAGUUACAAAAGCAACAGGAAGAAAAAAGCUGCUGAGCUGGGAUAAUUCAAAAACAUGCCACUG
rnacentral:lncRNA from 1 species